GAGUUUGAACCUGGCUCAGGAUGAACGCUGGCGGCGUGCCUAAUACAUGCAAGUCGAGCGAACAGAUGAGAAGCUUGCUUCUCUGAUGUUAGCGGCGGACGGGUGAGUAACACGUGGGUAACCUACCUAUAAGACUGGGAUAACUCCGGGAAACCGGGGCUAAUACCGGAUAAUAUAUUGAACCGCAUGGUUCAAUGUUGAAAGACGGUUUCGGCUGUCACUUAUAGAUGGACCCGCGCCGUAUUAGCUAGUUGGUAAGGUAACGGCUUACCAAGGCAACGAUACGUAGCCGACCUGAGAGGGUGAUCGGCCACACUGGAACUGAGACACGGUCCAGACUCCUACGGGAGGCAGCAGUAGGGAAUCUUCCGCAAUGGGCGAAAGCCUGACGGAGCAACGCCGCGUGAGUGAUGAAGGUCUUAGGAUCGUAAAACUCUGUUGUUAGGGAAGAACAAAUUUGUUAGUAACUGAACAAGUCUUGAC
rnacentral:rRNA from 1 species